GACGAACGCUGGCGGCGUGCUUAACACAUGCAAGUCGAACGGAAAGGCCCUGCUUUUGUGGGGUGCUCGAGUGGCGAACGGGUGAGUAACACGUGAGUAACCUGCCCUUGACUUUGGGAUAACUUCAGGAAACUGGGGCUAAUACCGGAUAGGAGCUCCUGCUGCAUGGUGGGGGUUGGAAAGUUUCGGCGGUUGGGGAUGGACUCGCGGCUUAUCAGCUUGUUGGUGGGGUAGUGGCUUACCAAGGCUUUGACGGGUAGCCGGCCUGAGAGGGUGACCGGCCACAUUGGGACUGAGAUACGGCCCAGACUCCUACGGGAGGCAGCAGUGGGGAAUAUUGCACAAUGGGCGGAAGCCUGAUGCAGCAACGCCGCGUGCGGGAUGACGGCCUUCGGGUUGUAAACCGCUUUCGCCUGUGACGAAGCGUGAGUGACGGUAAUGGGUAAAGAAGCACCGGCUAACUACGUGCCAGCAGCCGCGGUGAUACGUAGGGUGCGAGCGUUGUCCGGAUUUAUUGGGCGUAAAGGGCUCGUAGGUGGUUGAUCGCGUCGGAAGUGUAAUCUUGGGGCUUAACCCUGAGCGUGCUUUCGAUACGGGUUGACUUGAGGAAGGUAGGGGAGAAUGGAAUUCCUGGUGGAGCGGUGGAAUGCGCAGAUAUCAGGAGGAACACCAGUGGCGAAGGCGGUUCUCUGGGCCUUUCCUGACGCUGAGGAGCGAAAGCGUGGGGAGCGAACAGGCUUAGAUACCCUGGUAGUCCACGCUGUAAACGGUGGGUACUAGGUGUGGGGUCCAUUCCACGGGUUCCGUGCCGUAGCUAACGCUUUAAGUACCCCGCCUGGGGAGUACGGCCGCAAGGCUAAGACUCAAAGGAAUUGACGGGGCCCCGCAUAAGCGGCGGAGCAUGCGGAUUAAUUCGAUGCAACGCGUAGAACCUUACCUGGGUUUGACAUGGAUCGGGAGUGCUCAGAGAUGGGUGUGCCUCUUUUGGGGUCGGUUCACAGGUGGUGCAUGGCUGUCGUCAGCUCGUGUCGUGAGAUGUUGGGUUAAGUCCCGCAACGAGCGCAACCCUUGUUCACUGUUGCCAGCACGUUAUGGUGGGGACUCAGUGGAGACCGCCGGGGUCAACUCGGAGGAAGGUGGGGAUGACGUCAAGUCAUCAUGCCCCUUAUGUCCAGGGCUUCACGCAUGCUACAAUGGCUGGUACAGAGAGUGGCGAGCCUGUGAGGGUGAGCGAAUCUCGGAAAGCCGGUCUCAGUUCGGAUUGGGGUCUGCAACUCGACCUCAUGAAGUCGGAGUCACUAGUAAUCGCAGAUCAGCAACGCUGCGGUGAAUACGUUCCCGGGGCU
rnacentral:rRNA from 1 species